CAGUAGCCGCGGUAAUACGUAGGGUGCAAGCGUUAAUCGGAAUUACUGGGCGUAAAGCGUGCGCAGGCGGUUAUAUAAGUCAGAUGUGAAAUCCCCGGGCUCAACCUGGGAACUGCAUUUGAGACUGUAGGGCUAGAGUGUGUCAGAGGGGGGUAGAAUUCCACGUGUAGCAGUGAAAUGCGUAGAUAUGUGGAGGAAUACCGAUGGCGAAGGCAGCCCCCUGGGAUAACACUGACGCUCAUGCACGAAAGCGUGGGGAGCAAACAGGAUUAGAUACCCGAGUAGUCCCUGUCUCUUAUAC
rnacentral:rRNA from 1 species